AUUGCUUAUUUUACUUUAUUGUCUUAUGUAAUUUGUAAACCAUUAACCUAUGAAUUUAUGUUCUAAUAUAAUAUUUGAUAGCGAUUAUGUGGGGGGGGGGGGGGAUCCAUGGCAGGGGGGCAUUUCAGCGCAUAACACGUGUUACAAAAAAAAGUUGAGCCGCUCAUUUUCCAUUUCGUCAACCAAUCAAAGGGCUUGUGAUCAGUGUUUCUACUGUCGAUGCAUAUCGCCCUUUAAACCAACGCACGAGCGCGCAAUAAUCCUAGACAAUUCAAUCCAGCUAUACUAAUCAUCAACAACAGGGGAGUUUAAUGGAGUCCUGGUUGGGGAUAGGCGUUAUGCCUGCCAGAUUCCAGUACCUGAAGGGCCUUAGAGUAAGGCCGGACCGAGCAUACAACAUUGUGGGUGCCUGUGCUGUGCUACACAAUAUAGCAACCAUACGCCGGGAGAAACUGCCCACAGUGUUGGUGGAGGUGCAGUGGGAAGACAUACUAGCUCUUGAGGAAAGAGUGGAAGGACGGACUGUAAGGGACCUUUACAGGGACAGUUAUUUUAUGUAAAGCCACUGGUGACCAUUGAGCCCCCAACCCCCAGCUCAUGUAGUGGUGGAUAAAUAAAACACAUGCUCAAAAUGGACACUAUUUCCUUUAUUCACAUUCUUCAGAACAGAGAGCAUUUCAGAACUAGAGAUGGUCUAAUUAGUAACUUAAAAA